UUUUAUGGAGAGUUUGAUCCUGGCUCAGGAUGAACGCUGGCGGCGUGCCUAAUACAUGCAAGUCGAGCGAACAGACGAGGAGCUUGCUCCUCUGACGUUAGCGGCGGACGGGUGAGUAACACGUGGAUAACCUACCUAUAAGACUGGGAUAACUUCGGGAAACCGGAGCUAAUACCGGAUAAUAUAUUGA
rnacentral:rRNA from 1 species